CCUACGGGAGGCAGCAGUGGGGAAUAUUGCACAAUGGGGGAAACCCUGAUGCAGCGACGCCGCGUGAGUGAAGAAGUAUUUCGGUAUGUAAAGCUCUAUCAGCAGGGAAGAAAAUGACGGUACCUGAUCAAGAAACCCCGGCUAACUACGUGCCAGCAGCCGCGGUAAUACGUAGGGGGCAAGCGUUAUCCGGAGUUACUGGGUGUAAAGGGAGCGUAGAAGGCAGCACAAGUAUGGAGUGAAAUGCCGGGGCUUAACCCCGGAACUGCUUUGGAAACUGUGCAGCUAGAGUGCAGGAGAGGUAAGUGGAAUUCCUAGUGUAGCGGUGAAAUGCGUAGAUAUUAGGAGGAACACCAGUGGCGAAGGCGGCUUACUGGACUGUAACUGACGUUGAGGCUCGAAAGCGUGGGGAGCAAACAGGAUUAGAUACCCGAGUAGUC
rnacentral:rRNA from 1 species